UACGAAGGGGGCUAGCGUUGCUCGGAAUGACUGGGCGUAAAGGGCGCGUAGGCGGAUGGCACAGUCAGAUGUGAAAUUCCCGGGCUUAACCUGGGGGCUGCAUUUGAUACGUGUGAUCUAGAGUGAGGAAGAGGGUCGUGGAAUUCCCAGUGUAGAGGUGAAAUUCGUAGAUAUCAGGAAGAACACCCGUGGCUAAGGCGGCUCUCUAGUACGGUACUGACGCUGAGACGCGAAAGCGUGGGGAGCGAACAGG
rnacentral:rRNA from 1 species